GCCCUUGUAGUAUAGUGGAUAGAACACAAGAUUGCGGAUCUUGAGGCUGGAGUUCGAUUCUCCGCAAGGGCG
rnacentral:tRNA from 1 species